UACAGAGGGUGCGAGCGUUAAUCGGAAUUACUGGGCGUAAAGCGUGCGUAGACGGUUCUGUAAGUCGGAUGUGAAAUCCCCGGGCUCAACCUGGGAAUUGCAUUCGAGACUGCAAAGCUUGGGUGCGGAAGAGGGAAGCGGAAUUUCCGGUGUAGCGGUGAAAUGCGUAGAUAUCGGAAGGAACAUCAGUGGUGAAAGCGGCUUCCUGGUCCAGCACCGACGUUCAGGCACGAAAGCGUGGGGAGCAAACAGG
rnacentral:rRNA from 1 species